rnacentral:rRNA from 2 species
CGCCUGUUUAUCAAAAACAUAACCAUGUGUAAAUAUUCAUGGCGAUUUCUGCUCAAUGUUAACAUAAAUAGCCGCAGUACUCUGACUGUGCAAAGGUAGCAUAAUCAUUUGGCUCAUAAUUGGAGUCUGGCAUGAAUGAAUGAAUGGCUAGUAACUAUCUUUACAAGAGAUUUUGAACUUGCUUAAUAAGUGAAAAUACUUAUAAAAUAAUAAUAGACGAGAAGACCCUUGAAAUUUGUACAAUAUGUACUAUUAUUACACCGUUUUUGUUGGGGCGACAGAGCAACAUGAAACUUGCUUAUUAGAUUUGAAAUAUAUUGUUAGUAAAAAUAAAUUACUCUAGGGAUAACAGCAUAAUUUGUAAAAGUUUGUGACCUCGAUGUUGGAUUAGGGAACUUAUUAUCCAGAAGAUAAUUGGGCAGGUUCUGUUCGAACUAUUUAACCCUACGUGAUCUGAGUUCAGACCGG